UCGAGCGGUAACAGGGAUCAGCUUGCUGCAUUCGCUGACGAGCGGCGGACGGGUGAGUAAUGUCUGGGAAACUGCCUGAUGGAGGGGGAUAACCACUGGAACGGUGGCUAAUACCGCAUAACGUCGCAAGACCAAAGUGGGGGACCUUCGGGCCUCAUGCCAUCAGAUGUGCCCAGAUGGGAUUAGCUUGUAGGUGGGGUAACGGCUCACCUAGGCGACGAUCCCUAGCUGGUCUGAGAGGAUGACCAGCCACACUGGAACUGAGACACGGUCCAGACUCCUACGGGAGGCAGCAGUGGGGAAUAUUGCACAAUGGGCGCAAGCUCUGAUGCAGCCAUGCCGCGUGUAUGAAGAAGGCCUUCGGGUUGUAAAGUACUUUCAGUGAGGAGGAAGGCGCGAUGUUUAAUACACAUCGCGAUUGACGUUACUCACAGAAAAAGCACCGGCUAACUCCGUGCCAGCAGCCGCGUUA
rnacentral:rRNA from 1 species